UGAAACAAUAGCACAGGUAGCAAGAGGUGCUGGGAGUAGCCUAGGAGAGCAGCUUUUGACAUGACAUAUGGAAGACUGAACUUGCUCAGGGUCCUGAGUUUGGAUGUUUCUAGUACUAGCUAUUGAGGUAAGGGAGGCAAGGACAACAAAAGCAAAAAUAAACAAAUGGGACUACAUCAAACUAAUAAAAUUAUUGCAGUGAAGGAAACCAUCAACAAAAUAAGGGUGCCCAACAAUUUAGCUUGGCAGACCAUGUGUAGAAUUGCUGCACCUCAAUUCAAGAUGGCGGCUGGUGGCGGAACCCUGAGCAGCACAGCUGC